UGCAAACAAAAUCAUUUUUUGUCGAAAUUUCAAGCGAACAACAUCGAUUUUGGCUCGUGAAAAGAUCUCUGGAUUUUUUCCAAAUUCGUCUAAAAAUGCCAGCAAAAAAAGAAUCAAGCAAAGGUGCCAAGAAAGGAGCUGCCGCUCCAGCUGGUGCCAAGCCGACCGCCGAUCCUGUGGCUUCCGAAUCGACCACCGCAGCCGAACCAGCCGCCAAGGAAGCCAAGGGUUCCAAGAAGGGCAAAGGCAAAAAGAAGUAAGUUCCCCAGCUAGUUUGGUGGAGCUAACUUAAAAAGAGGAAUUCAAUGUUUCCGUAGAACAAUAAACCAAUGGUUUAAAACAA